AUGGUGAAACCCCAUCUCUACUAAAAUACAAAAAUUAGCUGGGCAUGGUGGUGUACACCUGUAAUCCCAGCUACUUGGGAGGCUGAGGCAAGAGAAUCGCUUGAACCUGGGAGGUGGAGGUUGCAGUGAGCUGAGAUCGCGCCACUGCAUGCUAGCCUGGGCGACGGAGAGAGACUCUGUCUCAAAAAAAAAAAAAAAAAAGAUUUGUAAACUAAAUUCAUUGUAAUUUUGUCUUUUGACAGUUCUGGCAACUGACAAAGGGACCUAAAGGACACUGCUGAUGACUUCUGAGACUCCCGGAGGAAUAUCAGAGAGGUGCCACAGAGCCACAGAUGCCUUUUGAGGUCCUCGGUCUUCCUCAUGGAGCCUCAAGGGUUAUAGGUGGAUUCUCACUCCAUCACCCAGGCUGGAGCGCCAUGGCAU
rnacentral:lncRNA from 10 species